rnacentral:rRNA from 1 species
CCCUUAGACGUUCUGGGCCGCACGCGCGCUACACUGACGGAGCCAGCGAGUAUAAACCUUGGCCGAGAGGUCUGGGAAAUCUUGUGAAACUCCGUCGUGCUGGGGAUAGAGCCUUGUAAUUAUUGCUCUUCAACGAGGAAUUCCUAGUAAGCGCAAGUCAUCAGCUUGCGUUGAUUACGUCCCUGCCCUUUGUACACACCGCCCGUCGCUACUACCGAUUGAAUGGCUUAGUGAGGCUUCCGGAUUGGUUUAGAGAAGGGGACAACUCCAUCUUGGAACCGAGAAGCUAGUCAAACUUGGUCAUUUAGAGGAAGUAAAAGUCGUAACA